GAUGAACGCUGGCGGCGUGCCUAAUACAUGCAAGUCGAGCGAACAGACGAGGAGCUUGCUCCUCUGACGUUAGCGGCGGACGGGUGAGUAACACGUGGAUAACCUACCUAUAAGACUGGGAUAACUUCGGGAAACCGGAGCUAAUACCGGAUAAUAUAUUGAACCGCAUGGUUCAAUAGUGAAAGACGGUUUUGCUGUCACUUAUAGAUGGAUCCGCGCCGCAUUAGCUAGUUGGUAAGGUAACGGCUGACCAAGGCAACGAUGCGUAGCCGACCUGAGAGGGUGAUCGGCCACACUGGAACUGAGACACGGUCCAGACUCCUACGGGAGGCAGCAGUAGGGAAUCUUCCGCAAAGGGCGAAAGCUUGACGGAGCAACGCCGCGUGAGUGAUGAAGGUCUUCGGAUCGUAAAACUCUGUUAUUAGGGAAGAACAAAUGUGUAAGUAACUAUGCACGUCUUGACGGUACCUAAUCAGAAAGCCCCGGCUAACUACGUG
rnacentral:rRNA from 1 species